GAACGCUGGCGGCGUGCUUAACACAUGCAAGUCGAGUGCGCGGUUGUAGCAAUACAACUGGCGCACGGCGCACGGGUGCGUAACACGUGGGUAACCUGCCCUUUGGUGGGGAAUAACUCCGCGAAAGCGGAGCUAAUUCCGCAUAAGAUCCGCAAGGAUGAAAGCCGCAAGGCGCCGAAGGAGGGGCCCGCGCCCGAUUAGCUAGUUGGUGAGGUAAUGGCUCACCAAGGCAUUGAUCGGUAGCUGGUCUGAGAGGAUGAUCAGCCACACUGGAACUGAGACACGGUCCAGACUCCUACGGGAGGCAGCAGUGGGGAAUCUUGCACAAUGGGCGAAAGCCUGAUGCAGCGACGCCGCGUGGGGGAUGAAGCAUUUCGGUGUGUAAACCCCUUUCGAUCCGGACGAAACCCCGCAAGGGAUUGACGGUACGGAUAUAAGAAGCCCCGGCUAACUACGUGCCAGCAGCCGCGGUAAGACGUAGGGGGCCAGUGUUGUUCGGAAUUACUGGGUGUAAAGGGUUCGUAGGCGGUGCGGCAAGUCGGGAGUGAAAUCUCUGGGCUUAACCCAGAGGCUGCUUCCGAAACUGCUGUGCUUGAGUGUGGGAGAGGCGCGUGGAAUUGCAGGUGUAGCGGUGAAAUGCGUAGAUAUCUGCAGGAACACCCGUGGCGAAAGCGGCGCGCUGGACCACUACUGACGCUGAGUGAACGAAAGCUAGGGGAGCAA
rnacentral:rRNA from 1 species